GAUGAACGCUGGCGGCGUGCCUAAUACAUGCAAGUCGAGCGAACGGACGAGAAGCUUGCUUCUUUGAUGUUAGCGGCGGACGGGUGAGUAACACGUGGAUAACCUACCUAUCAGACUGGGAUCACUUCGGGAAACCGGAGCUAAUACCGGAUAAUAUUUUGAACCGCAUGGUUCAAAAGUGAAAGACGGUCUUGCUGUCACUUAUAGAUGGUUCCGCGCUGCAUUAGCUAGUUGGUAAGGUAACGGCUUACCAAGGCAACGAUGCAUAGCCGACCUGAGAGGGGGAUCGCCCACACUGGAGCUGAGACGGGGACCAGACUCCUACGGGACGCAGCAGUAGGGAAUCGUCCGCAAUAGGCGAGAGCCUGACGGAGCAACGCCGCGUGAGUGAUGAAGGUCUUCGGAUCGUAAUACUCUGUUAUGAGGGGUGAACAUAUGUGUAAGUAACUGUGCACAGCUUGACGGUACCUAAUCAGAAAGCCACGGCUAACUACGUG
rnacentral:rRNA from 1 species